GGAUCCAGACUUUGAUUAUGGCUCAGGAUAAACGCUGGCGGCGCACAUAAGACAUGCAAGUCGAACGGAAGUCGUUAUAAAAGGAGAGAAGAUUUGUCGGAUUGAAUUUUAUAACAAUGGCUUUAGUGGCGGACUGGUGAGUAACGCGUAAGGAACCUACCUAUUAGAGGGGAACAACAAUGAGAAAUCAUUGCUAAUACCGCAUAUGCCAUAACUACCGCAUGGUAGAAGUGGGAAAGGAGUAAUCCACUGAUAGAUGGCCUUGCGUCUGAUUAGUUAGUUGGUGGGGUAACGGCCUACCAAGACGACGAUCAGUAGCCGGACUGAGAGGUUGAACGGCCACAUUGGGACUGAGAUACGGCCCAGACUCCUACGGGAGGCAGCAGUCGGGAAUAUUGCGCAAUGGAGGAAACUCUGACGCGGUGACGCCGCGUGCAGGAAGAAGGUUUUCGGAUUGUAAACUGCUUUAGACAGGGAAGAGAAAGGACAGUACCUGUAGAAUAAGCUCCGGCUAACUACGUGCCAGCAGCCGCGGUAAUACGUAGGGAGCGAGCGUUAUCCGGAUUUAUUGGGUGUAAAGGGUGCGUAGACGGGAAUACAAGUUAGUUGUGAAAUACCUCGGCUUAACUGAGGAACUGCAACUAAAACUAUAUUUCUUGAGUACAGGAGAGGUAAGUGGAAUUCCUAGUGUAGCGGUGAAAUGCGUAGAUAUUAGGAGGAACACCAGUGGCGAAGGCGACUUACUGGACUGAAACUGACGUUGAGGCACGAAAGUGUGGGGAGCAAACAGGAUUAGAUACCCUGGUAGUCCACACCGUAAACGAUGGAUACUAGGUGUAGGAGAUAUUAAGUCUUCUGUGCCGUCGCAAACGCAGUAAGUAUCCCACCUGGGGAGUACGGCCGCAAGGUUGCAACU
rnacentral:rRNA from 1 species